rnacentral:rRNA from 1 species
AGCGAACGCUGGCGGCGUGCCUAACACAUGCAAGUCGAACGUGAAAGUGAGCAAUCAUGAGUAAAGUGGCGUACGGGUGAGUAACACGUAGGUAAUCUACCUAAGAGCCUGGGAUAACCUGCCGAAAGGCGGGCUAAUACUGGAUAGUUCAAGCCAACUUUAAAGGUUGGAUUGGGAAAGGGAGCUUGUAAGAGCCCUCACUUUUAGAUGAGCCUGCGUCUGAUUAGCUAGUUGGCGGGGUAAUGGCCCACCAAGGCGAUGAUCAGUAGCUGGUCUGAGAGGAUGAUCAGCCACACUGGAACUGAAACACGGUCCAGACUCCUACGGGAGGCAGCAGUGGGGAGUCUUGCGCAAUGGACGAAAGUCUGACGCAGCCACGCCGCGUGAGUGAAGAAGG